rnacentral:lncRNA from 1 species
UGUGGGGGGGAGGACGCUGCUGCUCCCUUUCAUCGCACGGCGUCAGCCCCACGGAAUCUCUGAGUAAGGUUCUGCUCCGAGCAGGGCGGCUCCUGGCCUCGCUCCAGCUGCUCCUCCUGCACAGCACAGUGCAACACAGCACAGCACAACAGUGCACAGCACAACACAGCACAGCACAACACAGCACAACAGAGCACAGCUCAACCUGGCAACGGUGCGCGCCACGCUGGGCAUUGCUCCAAGCGUUGCUCUGUGCUGGGCAUUGCUCCAAGCUUGGCUCCGUGCUGGGCAUUGCUCCAAGCUUGGCUCCGUGCUGGGCAUUGCUCCAAGCAUUGCUCCGUGCUGGGCAUUGCUCCAAGCGUUGCUCUCUGCUGGGCAUUGCUCCAAGCAUUGCUCUGUGCUGGGCAUUGCUCCAAGCAUUGCCCUGUGCUGGGCAUUGCUCCAUACCAUGCAUUGCUCUGUGCUCCAAGCAUUACUCUGUACCAUGCAUGCAUUGCUCUGUGCUGGGCAUUGGUCUGCACCAUGCAUGCAUUGCUCUGUGCUGGGCAUUGCUCUGCACCAUGCAUGCAUUGCUCUGUGCUGGGCAUUGCUCUGCACCAUGCAUGCAUUGCUCUGUGCUGGGCAUUGCUCCGUACCAUGCAUUGCUCUGUACCAUGCAUGCAUUGCUCUGUGCCAUGCAUGCAUUGCUCCACGCUGGGCAUUGCUCUGCACCAUGCAUUGCUCUGUGCUGGGCAUUGCUCUGUACCAUGUGUUGCUCUGUGCUGGGCAUUGCUCUGCACCAUGCAUUGCUCUGUGCUGGGCAUUGCUCUGCACCAUGCAUUGCUCUGUGCUGGGCAUUGCUCUGCACCAUGCAUGCAUUGCUCUGUGCUGGGCAUUGCUCUGCACCAUGCAUGCAUUGCUCUGUGCCGGGCAUUGCUCUGUGCCGGGCAUUGCACCGUGCAUUGCUCUGGGCAUUGCUGUGCACAUUGCAUUGCUCCAGACAUUGCUCUGCGCCUUGCUCCAUGCAUUGCUGUGCACAUUGCAUUGCUCCAGACAUUGCUCUGCACCGUGCAUUACUGUGCACACUGCUCCAGGCAUUGCUCCAUGCACUGCCCUGUGCAUUGCUCAGUGCAUUGCUCUGGGCAUUGCUCUGUACCGUGCAUUGCUCUGGGCAUUGCUGUGCACAUUGCUCCAGGCAUUGCUGUGCACAUUGCACUGCUCCAUGCACUGCUCCGUGCAUUGCUCUGCACCGUGCAUUACUCUGGGCAUUGCCGUGCACAUUGCAUUGCUCAGGGCAUUGCUCUGUGCCUUGCUCUGUGCAUUACUCCAUGCAUUGCUCUGUGCAUUGCUCUGCACCGUGCAUUACUGUGCACACUGCUCCAGGCAUUGCUCCAUGCACUGCUCUGUGCACUGCUCAGUGCAUUGCUCUACACCGUGCAUUACUCUGGGCAUUGCUGUGCACAUUGCAUUGCUCCAGGCAUUGCUCCAGACAUUGCUCUGCAUAUUGCUCAGGGCAUUGCUCUGCACCUUGCUCCAUGCAUUGCUCUGGGCAUUGCUGAGCACAUUGCUCCGUGCAUUGCUGAGCACAUUGCUCCGUGCAUUGCUGAGCACAUUGCUCCGUGCAUGGCUCCGUG